rnacentral:rRNA from 1 species
GAAUAUUGCACAAUGGGGGAAACCCUGAUGCAGCCAUGCCGCGUGUGUGAAGAAGGCCUUCGGGUUGUAAAGCACUUUCAGUGGUGAGGAAGGCCACAUACUUAAUACGUAUGUGGAUUGACGUUAGCCACAGAAGAAGCACCGGCUGACUCCGUGCCAGCCGCCGCGGUAAUACGGAGGGUGCAAGCGUUAAUCGGAAUUACUGGGCGUAAAGCGUACGUAGGCGGCUUGUUAAGCAAGAUGUGAAAGCCCCGGGCUCAACCUGGGAAUGGCAUUUUGAACUGGCAAGCUCGAGUUCUGAAGAGGGUGGUAGAAUUUCCUGUGUAGCGGUGAAAUGCGUAGAUAUAGGAAGGAAUACCGGUGGCGAAGGCAGCCACCUGGUCAGAAACUGACGCUGAGGUACGAAAGCGUGGGGAGCAAACAGGAU